rnacentral:lncRNA from 1 species
CCUCCGGCGUGAUAAUCAGUGAUUUGGAUGUGCUUGACAAGUAAGGGAAAUCAGAGAGUUUUCACUCUAAAUGUAUGGCGAGAGAUGCUUUUGAGAGAGAGUUUUGGGGAGAAAUUUGCACUUACCUUCCACUUUGGCUGGGGAGUUCCUUAUAUAGGCCCUUGGCCGCCACUGUUGCUACAGUGGCGGGAAUGGGUCUAUAGCCACUCCCCAGCAUGGGUGGCUGUUUUGGUGCAACUACUGUCCUUUUUCCUGUCCUUUUGGGAUUUGUGCAUGCUUAUUAUCCUGUUUGCCUUGUACUUGGUAAUGAUGAGGUCUGACUUUGGGGAUCUCCAAGUCCUGUAGCGGGGGCGGGUACUGUUGGCG